rnacentral:rRNA from 1 species
GUCCUCAUGGCCCUUAUGUCCUGGGCUACACACGUGCUACAAUGGCGGUGACAGUGGGAAGCUAUGUGGUGACACAGUGCUGAUCUCUAAAAGCCGUCUCAGUUCGGAU